GCGGAGGAAAAGAAACUAACAAGGAUUCCCCUAGUAACGGCGAGUGAAGCGGGAAGAGCUCAAAUUUAAAAUCUGGCGGUGUAUUCCGUCCGAGUUGUAGUCUAGAGAAGCAUCAUCCGCGCUGGACCRUGUACAAGUCUCUUGGAAUAGAGCGUCAUAGAGGGUGAGAAUCCCGUCCUUGACAUGGACUCCCAGUGCUUUGUGUUGUGCUCUCAACGAGUCGAGUUGUUUGGGAAUGCAGCUCAAAAUGGGUGGUAAAUUCCAUCUAAAGCUAAAUAUUGGCGAGAGACCGAUAGCGAACAAGUACCGUGAGGGAAAGAUGAAAAGCACUUUGGAGAGAGAGUUAAACAGUACGUGAAAUUGUUGAAAUGGAAACGCUUGAAGUCAGUCGCGUUCUCUGGGAUUCAGCCUUGCUUCUGCUUGGUGCAUUUCCUAGUCUACGGGCCAGCAUGAGUUUUGACCGUUGGAAAAAGGCAGGGGGAAUGUGGCACCUCCGGGUGUGUUAUAGCCCCUUGUCACACACGGCGGUUGGGAUUGAGGAUUCAGUGCACGCUUCUGUUGUGCUUUGAUGCUGGCGUAAUGGCUUUAAACGACCCGUCUUGAAACACGGACCAAGGAGUCUAACAUGUCUGCGAGUGUUUGGGUGUUAAACCCAUGCGCGUAAUGAAAG
rnacentral:rRNA from 1 species